rnacentral:rRNA from 1 species
UUGUUGAGAGAGCAUUGAACGACGGAUGGUUGUGAAUGUGUCAACGUGCCCCCUUUUGUUGCCCCAUGUUGGCAGCUGAUUGAUCGUAGCUCGGUGCGAUCUGCACCAAGGAACAAUGAACUCAGAAGCAGAUGGCCCUCAGCGUGCGCGGGGAGGCCAAUGCAUCGGAGAUGCCUCAAAUCAAAUGAAUCGUCGCCUUUGCUACUUGCUUUGUCGGUGCCAAGCGCGGAAAUUGGCCUCGUGUGCCCUCGGGCACAGUCGGCUGAAGAGUGGGUAAUCCGCAGUCGUCGGGCGCGAUGGGUGUUGGUCGCCCUGUGCGUGAACUGAACGUCGUCCCCGCCGUGUUGGGAUGAGUCCUCAAGAGACCCUGUGUGAUUGCGGCGUCGCAUGAAAGUGCCGUGUCCAUCAAAUUGUGGCCCCAA